rnacentral:ncRNA from 1 species
UUUUAUCCGCCGCCGGGUGGAUUUUUGCGUUGGUUUUCGUAUCGUCAGGCCUUAGAAGAUACGGGUUCCGACGCUUUUUGUUU